rnacentral:rRNA from 1 species
UACGGAGAGUGCAAGCGUUGUUCGGAUUCACUGGGCGUAAAGGGCACGUAGGCGGCUCGGCAAAUCGGUCGUGGAAUCUCGACGCUUACCGUCGAAACGGCGGCCGAAAAUACCGGGCUCGAGGGCGGGAGGGGUCACUGGAACUCCUGGUGAAGCGGUGAAAUGCGUAGAUAUCAGGAGGAACGCCGGAGGCGAAAGCGAGUGACUGGCGCGUUCCUGACGCUGAGGUGCGAAAGCUAGGGGAGCAAACAGG